GACCUGGUGUAUCGGUAAUACACCUCGGUUAACGUAUUCAUUCGUCCGGCUUUGUAAGCAAUUUGCCGAGCGUUCCCGGUUCGACUCCGGGCCAGGUCG